GGAUGCAUUUAUGCUGCUUCUCGUGGCCUUCUCGCUCUUCUUUCUGCACUUGUAGUGCGCGCGUUGCCGUCGCCGGCGAACGCGCAGCGCUUCACGGUCUUUUGUUUCCUCCCUCCACUUCCUACAACUCUACGUGUGCCAUCACGUCCGUGCGCUACGUUGCCUCGCUUUUUUGGUAUUCUUCUUGGGACCCCUCUGUGAGCAGAAAGACGGACGCACGUGUGCACAUGUCCUUUCUGCCGAACAGGGGUGUAAGAUGGGUGAUCAAUGAGAUGGAGGGGUGCCUUUUUCAUCGUGUAAGCGCCGUGGGUUUCUGGCUGGUUGCGGCUCUGAGUUGUCUAUGAACGCGAGCGCACGCGUGAAAAGACGUGGAAUCGAACAGUGACGUGCACAAACGCGUACAAAGGCACAUUAAGCUCGAGAGGUUGAUACGCUUAUAAGUUGCUCUGCAAGAACAGAUGGACGAAGCCUAUUGAUUUCCUUGUUUAUUUUUCGGAGCGCCUUGCUGCAGGGGCUGACCUUUUGGGGUGGAUGGCGGCAGAGAGACAGCAUGAAGGUGGUAUCAUCACCACCUCGUCCUCCUCUCUCCACUCCUCUUUCUCUUUCUCAUGCUUUCUCCACGCGUGGACCGCAGCCCAGCAGCAAUGAGCACAAGCGAGCGAACACCCACGCAUAUACACAUUCGCGAAAGCGUAUUUGCGCCACAGCAGCCCCUAACGGAAGCGAGAAAACAUUGUGACAGCUCUGGCAUGAUUUGGUGUGUGUGUGUGUGUGUGCGAGUACGUGCCGCCGCAGGACCGCAACCGUGAACUGAAAAAGAGCACGUGAGGCAGCCACCGAAGCCGCAUUGCCCCGCGGCUCUUCCGGUGGUGUCGGCGAAGAAGGGGAACGCAAAGUCGAUGCGGCCUCGAUUUUGUUCACGCAGCCACGCGAAUGGACCCGCGUACAAGGCUCUUUUUGCACACCUCAUUUCUCCCGCUGCUCAACACUUUCAGCCAGCUGUGGCGGCACUGGUGCGGCGCAUCUGUGCCGCGGAUUGC
rnacentral:misc_RNA from 1 species